rnacentral:rRNA from 1 species
UACGAAGGGGGCUAGCGUUGCUCGGAAUCACUGGGCGUAAAGGGUGCGUAGGCGGGUCUUUAAGUCAGGGGUGAAAUCCUGGAGCUCAACUCCAGAACUGCCUUUGAUACUGAAGAUCUUGAGUUCGGGAGAGGUGAGUGGAACUGCGAGUGUAGAGGUGAAAUUCGUAGAUAUUCGCAAGAACACCAGUGGCGAAGGCGGCUCACUGGCCCGAUACUGACGCUGAGGCGCGAAAGUACGGGGAUCAAACAGG